rnacentral:rRNA from 1 species
AUACGGAGGGGGCAAACGUUGUUCGGAAUUACUGGGCGUAAAGGGCGCGUAGGCGGAUUAUCAAGUCAGAGGUGAAAGCCCUGGGCUCAACCUAGGAACUGCCUUUGAAACUGAUAGUCUUGAGUCCGAGAGAGGAUGGCGGAAUUCCCAGUGUAGAGGUGAAAUUCGUAGAUAUUGGGAAGAACACCAGUGGCGAAGGCGGCCAUCUGGCUCGGUACUGACGCUGAGGCGCGAAAGCGUGGGGAGCAAACAGGAUUAGAAACCCCGGUAGUCC